rnacentral:rRNA from 1 species
GCCUACGGGAGGCAGCAGUAAGGAAUAUUGGUCAAUGGACGCAAGUCUGAACCAGCCAUGCCGCGUGGAGGAUGAAGGCCCUCUGGGUUGUAAACUUCUUUUAUAGGGGACGAAACCUCUUUUUCUUGAGAGACUGACGGUACCCUAGGAAUAAGCACCGGCUAACUCCGUGCCAGCAGCCGCGGUAAU